rfam:Clostridium sp. CAG:58 genomic scaffold, scf87
UGAUAGCUAAGAAGCGUGAGGUUGCUGCCUGUAAAUGGCAGGUUUUCCGUGGAGCGAAUGUCAAGUUAGGAAACUGGCGACAA